GUUUACUUAUGAGGUGGCGAGCGGCGGACGGGUGAGUAAUGCCUAGGGAUCUGCCCAGUCGAGGGGGAUAACAGUUGGAAACGACUGCUAAUACCGCAUACGCCCUACGGGGGAAAGGAGGGGACCUUUUGGCCUUCCGCGAUUGGAUGAACCUAGGUGGGAUUAGCUAGUUGGUGAGGUAAUGGCUCACCCAGGCGACCAUUCCUAGCUGUUCUGAAAAGAUGAUUCGCCCCACUGGGACUGAGACACGGGCCAGACUCCUACNGGAGGCAGCAGUGGGGAAUAUUGCACAAUGGGGGAAACCCUGAUGCAGCCAUGCCGCGUGUGUGAAGAAGGCCUUCGGGUUGUAAAGCACUUUCAGUAGGGAGGAAAGGUUGUGAGUUAAUACCUUGCAGCUGUGACGUUACCUACAGAAGAAGGACCGGCUAACUCCGUGCCAGCAGCCGCGGUAAUACGGAGGGUCCAAGCGUUAAUCGGAAUUACUGGGCGUAAAGCGUGCGCAGGCGGUUUGUUAAGCGAGAUGUGAAAGCCCCGGGCUCAACCUGGGAAUUGCAUUUCGAACUGGCAAACUAGAGUCUUGUAGAGGGGGGUAGAAUUCCAGGUGUAGCGGUGAAAUGCGUAGAGAUCUGGAGGAAUACCGGUGGCGAAGGCGGCCCCCUGGAC
rnacentral:rRNA from 1 species